rnacentral:lncRNA from 1 species
UGCAGGAAAUAUUUUAAGAUGAAUACCAUACCUGCACACCAGUGGGUAGAAGUAGUAUCUUAUUACUUGGAGGGAAAGGCAGACAUCUGGUUUGAAGGAUUGUGUAGAGAAAACGAAUCUUGGAUAGAAUGGGACGAAUUUGCACAGAGCCUGGGCAGACGAUUUGGCAGCAGAGAAGAUAGUGUGGAAGAAUUCAACAAACUGACCCAAGAGAAAAGUGUAGAUGAUUACAUAGAACGAUUUGAGGAGCUUAAAUCAUU